rnacentral:RNase_P_RNA from 1 species
UGAGUAAGACAGACGGCCGCGUGGCGGAGGCGAAAGGCUCCGCCAUGAGGAAAGUCCGGGCUCCACAGGGCAAGAAUAACGGGUAACGCCCGCCGAAGGCGACUUCAGGAAAAGUGCAACAGAGAUAUACCGCCCCGCUGUCCCCUGAGGAAGGCGCCGGGAUACCGAGUCGACGACAUCAAUUGAGUCGGCGGUGACGUGGAACGGGCCGCGGGGUAAGGGUGGAAAGGUGGGGUAAGAGCCCACCCAUCGGCUGGAGACUGUCCGAUGCUGUAAACUCUAUUCGGAGCAACACCGUGGGAGGACACAUGGCUGGCCCGGCCGUCCUCAGGAGGUGGCUUGAGCCUGCCGGCAACGGCAGGUCGAGAUAGAUGGCCGUUUGAUACAGAACCCGGCUUACAGUCUUACUCGCAGC